UGUACCUCUGCAUCAGUCCAACUCUUUCCCUGGAUGUUGAAACUGAAACAGCGAGAGCCAAACUGAGUCCAACCAGGAGGGCAGGGACCUUCAAGACAAUCUGGGCUUGAGGUUUGUCCAAGA